AUUGAACGCUGGCGGCAGGCCUAACACAUGCAAGUCGAACGAGUGGCGGACGGGUGAGUAAUGUCUGGGAAACUGCCUGAUGGAGGGGGAUAACUACUGGAAACGGUAGCUAAUAACGCAUCCCAUCCGAUGUGCCCAGAUGGGCUUAGCUAGUUGGUGGGGUAACGGCUCACACAGGCGACGCUCCCUAGGUGGUCUGAGAGGAUGACCAGCCACACUGGAACUGAGACACGGUCCAGAAUCCUACGGGAGGCAGCAGUGGGGAAUAGUGCACAAUGGGCGCAAGCCUGAUUCAGCCAUGCCGCGUGUAUGAAGAAGGCCUUCGGGUUGUAAAGUACUUUCAGCGGGGAGGCGUUACCCGCAGAAGAAGCACCGGCUAACUCCGUGCCAGCAGCCGCGGUAAUUC
rnacentral:rRNA from 1 species